CGGUGUUCAACUGGCGUGUCCGCGGGACGUCCUGCCGGUGGGCUUAGCCCGCAAGGGCGGCCCAACUUCAAAUCCCAUCGCGGUGCUCUUCACUGAGUGUCGAGGUGGGCCGGCACGUUUACUUUGAACAAAUUAGAGUGCUUAAAGCAGGCUAAAACUUCGCCUGAAUACUGUGUGCAUGGAAUAAUGGAAUAGGACCUCGGUUCUAUUUUGUUGGUUUUCGGAACCCCGAGGUAAUGAUUAAUAGGAACGGAUGGGGGCAUUCGUAUUGCGACGUUAGAGGUGCAAUUCUUGGAUCGUCGCAAGACGGACAGAAGCGAAAGCAUUUGCCAAAAACGCUUUCAUUGAUCAAGAACGAAAGUUAGAGGUUCGAAGGCGAUCAGAUACCGCCCUAGUUCUAACCAUAAACGAUGCCAGCUAGCGAUCCGUCGACGUUCCUCCGAUGACUCGACGGGCAGCUUCCGGGAAACCAAAGCUUUUGGGUUCCGGGGGAAGUAUGGUUGCAAAGCUGAAACUUAAAGGAAUUGACGGAAGGGCACCACCAGGAGUGGAGCCUGCGGCUUAAUUUGACUCAACACGGGAAACCUCACCAGGCCCGGACACCGGAAGGAUUGACAGAUUGAGAGCUCUUUCUUGAUUCGGUGGGUGGUGGUGCAUGGCCGUUCUUAGUUGGUGGAGCGAUUUGUCUGGUUAAUUCCGAUAACGAACGAGACUCUAGCCUGCUAACUAGGCGUAUUUUCGACAUCUCAAAGGUCCGUCGUCCCGGCCCUCGGGUCGUGGGCGUGCGCGAUUUUUACUGUCGGCGUACUAUCAAUUCUUCUUAGAGGGACAGGUGGCUUCUAGCCGCACGAGAUUGAGCAAUAACAGGUCUGUGAUG
rnacentral:rRNA from 1 species